CUGUAAUGUAAUGCCUACAACGUUAAUGAACUAGAUCCCAUUAGAAAUUUGUAGUUUUAAAAUGCACUUGGGCUAGAGUAGUACUAGGAUGGGUGACCUCUCAGGAAAUCCUAGUGUUUUACAUG
rnacentral:rRNA from 1 species